UACGUAGGGGGCAAGCGUUGUUCGGAAUUACUGGGCGUAAAGGGCUCGUAGGCGGCCAACUAAGUCAGACGUGAAAUCCCUCGGCUUAACCGGGGAACUGCGUCUGAUACUGGAUGGCUUGAGUUUGGGAGAGGGAUGCGGAAUUCCAGGUGUAGCGGUGAAAUGCGUAGAUAUCUGGAGGAACACCGGUGGCGAAGGCGGCAUCCUGGACCAACACUGACGCUGAUGAGCGAAAGCCAGGGGAGCAAACGGG
rnacentral:rRNA from 1 species